CCUACCCUCUGCCUAAUCAUUUUCAUGAAGUUUUUGGAAUUUAAUGGUGGAGGUUGCAAUAGAAAGGAUGAAAUGUAUUUCAUUAUCAAAAAACUCUGGGAAAAUAAUUUUUCAGCAAUUUAAGAGCAGAUGCUGCAAACGGACUGCAUUUGUUGGGGUUGCUCAGCAGGAAAGUGGGGGACAGUGAGUGACUCACCAAAACUGAGGGAUACAGAAAGGACAAUAGAAUAACAACAGAGAAAAACAUGAAGACAGAAAGGACACCAAAAGAUUUAUGAGGCUUUAAAUUCAGUUGUAAAGUCAAGACUGAUGGAAGAAAUAUUAAUGAACAUACCUGGA